CUCCGCCUUCGAUUUCUUUCCCCCUUCCAAAACCUAUUCAUUUCCUCCUCCAGAUUUCUUCUUCCCCCCGAAAUCCCCUUCGUGGCCCAUCAUAGACCUAAUUCUUGAAACUUAUUCCAUCUUUCACCAUCGAAGUUGACCCACGAAAUCGACGUAAGUGGUCCUCAAGCACGACGUCUGUAGAAUCAUUAGUCUUUAUCAAGCAUGGCAACCAAGCACGAUUCCUCUUCCUCAAGCACGAUUUGUCUUCCUCAAGCACUAUUCCCCCUGCUCCCACGAAAGCCCCACCUACCCACUCGAAACUGUAGUCCAUUCGAAGUCAAAACCCUAACCAUUAUCCUACCAGUGGCGUAAUCCCUUGGGGUAAUUUGUCCAAAAUCUAACCCUAACCCUAACCCUAGCAUCAAAUACAAUGAGCUGUUAAGGAGCCAGAAAGAGCUCGAGAUGAAACUCGAACACAUCAAGAGGAGGGAGAUUGAGCUUUGUAAGAGAUCGGAUGAGAUCGAGAAGAGAGAGUUGGGGCUUCUAGAGUAAGAAGUUGAAAUAUUGCGUUCAUGCAGAUUACUUCAGCUAUAUUGGGCUUUUGUAGUUGUUGUGUCAUGUUAUGUAAUAGUACGUAGGUGAUUUUGGAACUUGGUAUAUUUUGUAAAAUUUGUAGGCUUAUGUUAGACUAAUUAGUCGGUGCUUACCAAAGUUCACCAACGAAUUUUGUGAAAUUUGUACUUAGCUUAAGUUUCUGAAGUGAUUUGGGAUUCAGUUUUGUAUAAAUGAAUGAUUAGUUUAACUU